UGGACGCAUCACUGGUGUUCGGGUUGUCAUGCCAAUGGCACUGCCCGGUAGCUAAAUGCGGAAGAGAUAAGUGCUGAAAGCAUCUAAGCACGAAACUUGCCCCGAGAUGAGUUCUCCCUGAGACUUAGAGUCUCCUGAAGGAACGUUGAAGACGACGACGUUGAUAGGCCGGGUGUGUAAGCGCAGCGAUGCGUUGAGCUAACCGGUACUAAUGAACCGUGAGGCUUAACCUUACAACGCCGAAG
rnacentral:rRNA from 10 species